AUUGAACGCUGGCGGCAGGCCUAACACAUGCAAGUCGAGCGGAUGAGAGGAGCUUGCUUCUCGAUUCAGCGGCGGACGGGUGAGUAAUGCCUAGGAAUCUGCCUGGUAGUGGGGGACAACGUUUCGAAAGGAACGCUAAUACCGCAUACGUCCUACGGGAGAAAGCAGGGGACCUUCGGGCCUUGCGCUAUCAGAUGAGCCUAGGUCGGAUUAGCUAGUUGGUGGGGUAAUGGCUCACCAAGGCGACGAUCCGUAACUGGUCUGAGAGGAUGAUCAGUCAAACUGGAACUGAGACACGGUCCAGACUCCUACGGGAGGCAGCAGUGGGGAAUAUUGGACAAUGGGCGAAAGCCUGAUCCAGCCAUGCCGCGUGUGUGAAGAAGGUCUUCGGAUUGUAAAGCACUUUAAGUUGGGAGGAAGGGCAGUAAGUUAAUACCUUGCUGUUUUGACGUUACCGACAGAAUAAGCACCGGCUAACUCUGUGCCAGCAGCCGCGGUAAAAC
rnacentral:rRNA from 1 species